rnacentral:rRNA from 1 species
UGGGGAAUAUUGCACAAUGGGCGAAAGCCUGAUGCAGCAACGCCGCGUGAGUGAUGAAGGUCUUCGGAUUGUAAAGCUCUGUCUUUGGGACGAUAAUGACGGUACCAAAGGAGGAAGCCACGGCUAACUACGUGCCAGCAGCCGCGGUAAUACGUAGGUGGCGAGCGUUGUCCGGAUUUACUGGGCGUAAAGGGUGCGUAGGCGGAUGUUUAAGUGAGAUGUGAAAUACCCGGGCUUAACUUGGGUGCUGCAUUUCAAACUGGAUAUCUAGAGUGCAGGAGAGGAGAAUGGAAUUCCUAGUGUAGCGGUGAAAUGCGUAGAGAUUAGGAAGAACACCAGUGGCGAAGGCGAUUCUCUGGACUGUAANUGACGCUGAGGCACGAAAGCGUGGGUAGCAAACAGGAUUAGAUACCCUGGUAGUCCACGCCGUAAACGAUGAGUACUAGGUGUAGGAGGUAUCGACCCCUUCUGUGCCGCAGUAAACACAUUAAGUACUCCGCCUGGGAAGUACGAUCGCAAGAUUAAAACUCUAAAGUGAAUU